GAUGAACGCUGGCGGCGUGCCUAAUACAUGCAAGUCGAGCGAACGGACGAGAAGCUUGCUCCUCUGACGUUAGCGGCGGACGGGUGAGUAACACGUGGAUAACCUACCUAUAAGACUGGGAUAACUUCGGGAAACCGGAGCUAAUACCGGAUAAUAUUUUGAACCGCAUGGUUCAAUAGUGAAAGACGGUCUUGCUGUCACUUAUAGAUGGAUCCGCGCUGCAUUAGCUAGUUGGUAAGGUAACGGCUUACCAAGGCAACGAUGCAUAGCCGACCUGAGAGGGUGAUCGGCCACACUGGAACUGAGACACGGUCCAGACUCCUACGGGAGGCAGCAGUAGGGAAUCUUCCGCAAUGGGCGAAAGCCUGACGGAGCAACGCCGCGUGAGUGAUGAAGGUCUUCGGAUCGUAAAACUCUGUUAUUAGGGAAGAACAUAUGUGUAAGUAACUAUGCACAUCUUGACGGUACCUAAUCAGAAAGCCACGGCUAACUACGUG
rnacentral:rRNA from 1 species